GAUAAUAAUAAUAAACAAUAAUAAUAAUAUUUUAAGUAAUAUAUAAAAUACUUGAGUCGUGCUAGGCACUGUCCUAAGAAACUACUCCCGCAAUGUAAAAUAUUUUUCCAGGAUUAAACAAGUACUUCCCUAAUUAAUUAGAGGAUAUCCGAAUUUAAUAAGUGUUCCCUUAAUUAAUCAGAAGAUAUGGGAAUCAGCAAAAUUAAUUAUAAAACAUCAAGUUUAAUUUUAGAAAAGUAAAUAAUAAUGAUGAAUGACUGAAUAAAAUAUGAGGAAAUUAAUUGAGAAGGAAUAUAUGAGAGAGGGAAAAGUAGUAUUUGAGAG
rnacentral:lncRNA from 1 species